AACAGCGUAAUUCAGAGGAAGAAUGCGAGGCUCAUAUUACGUAAUAAUAUACGAAAUUUGAUCACCUCGAAGUCAUGGGAUCGAAACCCAUCGCUGUUA